GACGAACGCUGGCGGCGUGCUUAACACAUGCAAGUCGAACGGAAAGGCCCUGCUUUUGUGGGGUGCUCGAGUGGCGAACGGGUGAGUAACACGUGAGUAACCUGCCCUUGACUUUGGGAUAACUUCAUGAAACUGGGGCUAAUACCGGAUAGGAGCUCCUGCUGCAUGGUGGGGGUUGGAAAGUUUCGGCGGUUGGGUAUGGACUCGCGGCUUAUCAGCUUGUUGGUGGGGUAGUGGCUUACCAAGGCUUUGACGGGUAGCCGGCCUGAGAGGGUGAGCGGCCACAUUGGGACUGAGAUACGGCCCAGACUCCUACGGGAGGCAGCAGUGGGGAAUAUUGCACAAUGGGCGGAAGCCUGAUGCAGCAACGCCGCGUGCGGGAUGACGGCCUUCGGGUUGUAAACCGCUUUCGCCCGUGACGAAGCGUGAGUGACGGUAAUGGGUAAAGAAGCACCGGCUAACUACGUG
rnacentral:rRNA from 1 species